GUUAGAGUGGAGGGGUGGCAGGUAGCCUAGUGGUUAGAGUGGAGGGGAGGCAGGUAGCCUAGUGGUUAGAGGUGUAGAGGCGGCAGGUAGCCUAGUGGUUAGAGUGGAGGGGCGGCAGGAAGCCUAGUGGUUAGAGUGUAGAGGCGGCAGGUAGCCUAGUGGUUAGAGUGGAGAGGCGGCAGGUAGCCUAGUGGUUAGAGUGGAGGGGCGGCAGGUAGCCUAGUGGUUAGAGUGGAGGGACGGCAGGAAGCCUAGUGGUUAGAGUGUAGAGGCGGCAGGUAGCCUAGUGGUUAGAGUGGAGAGGCGGCAGGUAGCCUAGUGGUUAGAGUGGAGGGACGGCAGGUAGCCUAGUGGUUAGAGUGUAGAGGUGGCAGGUAGCCUAGUGGUUAGAGUGUAGAGGUGGCAGGUAGUCUAGUGGUUAGAGUGUAGAGGCGGCAGGUAGUCUAGUGGUUCGAGUGUAGAGGCGGCAGGUAGCCAAAUGGUUAGAGUGUUGAGCCAGUACUUGAAAGGUUGCUGGAUCGAAUCCCC
rnacentral:lncRNA from 1 species